rnacentral:rRNA from 1 species
AACGAACGCUGGCGGCGUGCCUAACACAUGCAAGUCGAGCGCGAAUGGGAGCAAUCCCUAGUAGAGCGGCGCACGGGUGCGUAACACGUGGGUAAUCUGCCUGGAAGCCCGGGACAACCUUCCGAAAGGAUGGCUAAUACCGGAUAAGCCUACGGGAUCCUCGGAUCCUGAAGGAAAAGGUGGCCUCUGUACACAAGCUAUCACUUCCAGAUGAGCCCGCGGCCCAUCAGCUAGUUGGCGGGGUAACGGCCCACCAAGGCAACGACGGGUAGCUGGUCUGAGAGGACGAUCAGCCACACUGGAACUGAGACACGGUCCAGACUCCUACGGGAGGCAGCAGUGGGGAAUUUUGCACAAUGGGCGAAAGCCUGAUGCAGCAACGCCGCGUGUGUGAUGAAGGUCUUCGGAUUGUAAAGCACUUUCGACCGGGACGAAACACCCUUGGCUAACAUCCAAGGGCCUGACGGUACCGGGAGAAGAAGCACCGGCUAACUCUGUGC